UACGAAGGGGGCUAGCGUUGUUCGGAAUUACUGGGCGUAAAGCGCACGUAGGCGGACUGUUAAGUCAGGGGUGAAAUCCUGGAGCUCAACUCCAGAACUGCCUUUGAUACUGAUGGUCUCGAGUCCGGAAGAGGUGAGUGGAAUUCCGAGUGUAGAGGUGAAAUUCGUAGAUAUUCGGAGGAACACCAGUGGCGAAGGCGGCUCACUGGUCCGGUACUGACGCUGAGGUGCGAAAGCGUGGGGAGCAAACGGG
rnacentral:rRNA from 1 species